CCUACGGGAGGCAGCAGUAGGGAAUAUUGCUCAAUGGGGGAAACCCUGAAGCAGCAACGCCGCGUGGAGGAUGAAGGUUUUCGGAUUGUAAACUCCUUUUGUUAGAGAAGAUAAUGACGGUAUCUAACGAAUAAGCACCGGCUAACUCCGUGCCAGCAGCCGCGGUAAUACGGAGGGUGCAAGCGUUACUCGGAAUCACUGGGCGUAAAGAGCGCGUAGGCGGGAUAGCAAGUCAGAUGUGAAAUCCUAGGGCUUAACCAUAGAAGUGCAUUUGAAACUGUUAUUCUAGAGUAUGGGAGAGGUAGGUGGAAUGCGUGGUGUAGGGGUAAAAUCCGUAGAGAUCAAGAGGAAUACUCAUUGCGAAGGCGACCUGCUAGAACAUAACUGACGCUGAUGCGCGAAAGCGUGGGGAGCAAACAGGAUUAGAUACCCCAGUAGUC
rnacentral:rRNA from 1 species